rnacentral:rRNA from 1 species
GCCCCAGUGGCGAACGGUCGCGUAACACGUAAGCAACCUGCCCUGAAGUGGGGGACAACAUCCCGAAAGGGGUGCUAAUACCGCAUGUGGUCACGAGUCGGCAUCGACUUGUGUCUAAAGAUUUAUCGCUUCAGGAUGGGCUUGCGGCCUAUCAGGUAGUUGGUGGGGUAAUGGCCUACCAAGCCGACGACGGGUAGCUGGUCUGAGAGGACGAUCAGCCGGAUUGGGACUGAGAUACGGCCCAGACUCCUACGGGGGGCAGCAAUUAGGAAUCUUGCGCAAUGGGGGAAACCCUGACGCAGCGACGUCGCGUGAAGGAUGAAGGCCCUCGGGUCGUAAACUUCUUUUGAGUGGGAAGAAAUUUGACGGUACCACUCGAAUAAGCCCCGGCUAACUACGUGCCAGCAGCCGCGGUAAUACGUAGGGGGCGAGCGUUGUCCGAAGUUACUGGGCGUAAAGCGCGCGUAGGCGGUUAUUUAAGCCUGGGGUGAAAGGUUCAGCGCUCAACGUGAACAGUGCCUUGGACACUGGAUGACUUGAGUCUGGGAGGGGGAAGGGAAAUUCCUGGUGUAGCGGUGAAAUGCGUAGAUAUCAGGAGGAACACCGGUGGCGAAGGCGCCUUCCUGGCCUAAGACUGACGCUGAGGUGCGAAAGCGUGGGGAGCAAACGGGAUUAGAUACCCCGGUAGUCCACGCCGUAA